UACAGAGGGGGCGAGCGUUGUUCGGAAUUAGCUAGGGCGUAAAGCGCGCGCAGGCGGCACACCAAGUACCCUAUGAAAUCUCCCUUGCUCAACGGGGAAGGUGUGGGGGUAGACUGGUGAGCUAGAGGACGGUAGAGGGGUAGAAUUGCUGGUGGUAGCGGUGAAAUGCGUAGAGAUCAGCAGGAAUACCCGUGGCGAAGGCG
rnacentral:rRNA from 1 species